UCAAACUUGGUCAUUUAGAGGAAGUAAAAGUCGUAACAAGGUUUCCGUAGGUGAACCUGCGGAAGGAUCAUUAACGUGCCCCUGGGGCGCUCCGGCGGUCCCCGGAACUCCGGGCCCGGCCGGGUGCGUCCUUAGGCUCAACCGUGUCUACUGUACUUGUUGCUUCGGCGGGUCUCCGGGGCCCCCCCGCCGAAGACCCCCCUGAACCCCCAGUGAAUGUUGGCGGUCUGAGUGGUAUUGAAUCGUUAAAACUUUCAACAACGGAUCUCUUGGUUCCGGCAUCGAUGAAGAACGCAGC
rnacentral:misc_RNA from 1 species